CCUACGGGAGGCAGCAGUGAGGAAUAUUGGUCAAUGGACGAGAGUCUGAACCAGCCAAGUAGCGUGAAGGAUGACUGCCCUAUGGGUUGUAAACUUCUUUUAUAUGGGAAUAAAAUGUUCCACGUGUGGGAUUUUGUAUGUACCAUAUGAAUAAGGAUCGGCUAACUCCGUGCCAGCAGCCGCGGUAAUACGGAGGAUCCGAGCGUUAUCCGGAUUUAUUGGGUUUAAAGGGAGCGUAGGUGGAUUGUUAAGUCAGUUGUGAAAGUUUGCGGCUCAACCGUAAAAUUGCAGUUGAAACUGGCAGUCUUGAGUACAGUAGAGGUGGGCGGAAUUCGUGGUGUAGCGGUGAAAUGCUUAGAUAUCACGAAGAACUCCGAUUGCGAAGGCAGUUCACUGGACUGCAACUGACACUGAGGCUCGAAAGUGUGGGUAUCAAACAGGAUUACAUACCCGAGUAGUC
rnacentral:rRNA from 1 species